rnacentral:piRNA from 1 species
UGUGAAAACUGUGUCCAUACUGCUGC